rnacentral:rRNA from 1 species
GGGAAUUUUGGACAAUGGGGGCAACCCUGAUCCAGCCAUUCCGCGUGAGUGAAGAAGGCCUUCGGGUUGUAAAGCUCUUUCGGCAGGAACGAAACGGCGAGCUCUAACAUAGCUCGCUAAUGACGGUACCUGAAGAAGAAGCACCGGCUAACUACGUGCCAGCAGCCGCGGUAAUACGUAGGGUGCGAGCGUUAAUCGGAAUUACUGGGCGUAAAGCGUGCGCAGGCGGUUGUGUAAGACAGGUGUGAAAUCCCCGGGCUUAACCUGGGAACUGCGCUUGUGACUGCACGGCUAGAGUAUGGCAGAGGGGGGUGGAAUUCCACGUGUAGCAGUGAAAUGCGUAGAGAUGUGGAGGAACACCGAUGGCGAAGGCAGCCCCCUGGGCCAAUACUGACGCUCAUGCACGAAAGCGUGGGGAGCAAACAG